rnacentral:lncRNA from 1 species
CACUUGAACAGCUAUGCAUAGGUACAUUACAAGGCUCUCGUAGCCCCAGGAUCUCCUGGCUAACCAGUCUUCAUGCUAGAAAAGAACAUUUUAAGAUAAGUGGUCCUGGGCUCCUGCUCUCUGUCUUCUUACAAAGCUUGCAAGAAUUGCAGCAGAUUUAUACUGCAAGGGCAGUAUAAAUACAAACACAUGCCCCAAGACCCAAAGCAUCAUGUUCUUGUUGCUUUUCUCCCCAAGCAAGUGUAUGUAAGAUUUUCUGAUUUGGUAAAAAUACAUAUUUUUAAUGCAGAUAUUUUGAAAUCAAUAUCUGAAUAUCCAUCGGAGCUCUCUUGAAUGCCUUGAGGAAGGCUGAAAGUGAUCCCUCAGCAGUUGAUGAACAAAUUGGUAUCUCUAUCCUAUGACACAGAAAAUGAGCUAAUCCAUUCUUGCAUAGAUUUGUCAUCUCUGUAGUAUGGACAAAAACAAAAAAGCAUGUAUUUGUUGGGGAAACAGAUGAAUGUUAUUUUUCUGUGAAAGUUGAGGGUUUUCUGGCACCAACACAAAACAUGCCAUCCUCCAAAUGUGUUAGAGAACAGUUUCUGGGCAAGAGGGAAGGGGGACAUGUAAGAGAUUACAUCGUCACCUGAAACAAUGUGUUUUUCUUGAAGAAAGUUCAGUAACUGUUCAGAAUCACCAACUGGUUAAAUUGUAAAAUGAGUGGAUGAAACAAUGGAGUGCAGACAGGUGGUGUUUUUUGAUGCACAAACCUGUGUCCUGUUUUCAUUCCUGUGAAAACUGCAAACAUUGAAAUUUUGGUUUCUUCAGCUGUCUUCAGGGUUUCAUUAUUGUUUUGUCCUUACAGACUCAGCUUUCAUUUGGAGGAAGGAGAAGUUUCACAGCUAUGAGGAAACAGUUACAGAGACAAAGCUUGCUGAAAUGAAAACGAACUAAUUACCAUGGAACAUGGUUUUUCUACAAGUCAUUUGGGUGCGAGAGUUAACCAGCUCUUGGCUUUGGGGCCUCUGGUUCUUGCGGCUUUCUGACAGUGUUUUGUGGAGUGAGUGGAUAACCCGUCCUGAAGCCACUUCAGAUGAGGGUCAUUUUCCUUCUUGCCUUGCUGAAGUUGGAUCUGUAGCAUGCAGUUGAAGGUGGCAGGUUGCUGAUCACUUUAGACCAGGACCUUUGGUCAGUAAGGAGCUUGCUUUCCCCCAAGGUUGAAUUCCUGUCAACAAGGUGGUUCAUUGACAUUUUGCUGUGAAGAUGGAAGAAAUGUGCCUGUAGCAACAUAGCAAUGGCAAGGUCAGUGAAACCGAGGGGAGAAAUAAGAGAGUUUGCAAGGCUUUUGCUCUCAGUGG